GAUGAACCCUUUCUACAGGCUUAACACAUGCAAGUCGAGGGGCAGCAUUUUAGUUUGCUUGCAAACUAAAGAUGGCGACCGGCGCACGGGUGAGUAACACGUAUCCAACCUGCCGAUAACUCGGGGAUAGCCUUUCGAAAGAAAGAUUAAUAUCCGAUAGUAUAUUAAAACCGCAUGGUUUUACUAUUAAAGAAUUUCGGUUAUCGAUGGGGAUGCGUUCCAUUAGUUUGUUGGCGGGGUAACGGCCCACCAAGACUACGAUGGAUAGGGGUUCUGAGAGGAAGGUCCCCCACAUUGGAACUGAGACACGGUCCAAACUCCUACGGGAGGCAGCAGUGAGGAAUAUUGGUCAAUGGACGAGAGUCUGAACCAGCCAAGUAGCGUGAAGGAUGACUGCCCUAUGGGUUGUAAACUUCUUUUAUAUGGGAAUAAAGUAUUCCACGUGUGGGAUUUUGUAUGUACCAUAUGAAUAAGGAUCGGCUAACUCCGUGCCAGCAGCCGCGGUAAUACGGAGGAUCCGAGCGUUAUCCGGAUUUAUUGGGUUUAAAGGGAGCGUAGGUGGAUUGUUAAGUCAGUUGUGAAAGUUUGCGGCUCAACCGUAAAAUUGCAGUUGAAACUGGCAGUCUUGAGUACAGUAGAGGUGGGCGGAAUUCGUGGUGUAGCGGUGAAAUGCUUAGAUAUCACGAAGAACUCCGAUUGCGAAGGCAGCUCACUAGACUGCAACUGACACUGAUGCUCGAAAGUGUGGGUAUCAAACAGGAUUAGAUACCCUGGUAGUCCACACAGUAAACGAUGAAUACUCGCUGUUUGCGAUAUACAGUAAGCGGCCAAGCGAAAGCAUUAAGUAUUCCACCUGGGGAGUACGCCGGCAACGGUGAAACUCAAAGGAAUUGACGGGGGCCCGCACAAGCGGAGGAACAUGUGGUUUAAUUCGAUGAUACGCGAGGAACCUUACCCGGGCUUAAAUUGCAUUUGAAUAAUCUGGAAACAGGUUAGCCGCAAGGCAAAUGUGAAGGUGCUGCAUGGUUGUCGUCAGCUCGUGCCGUGAGGUGUCGGCUUAAGUGCCAUAACGAGCGCAACCCUUAUCUUUAGUUACUAACAGGUUAUGCUGAGGACUCUAGAGAGACUGCCGUCGUAAGAUGUGAGGAAGGUGGGGAUGACGUCAAAUCAGCACGGCCCUUACGUCCGGGGCUACACACGUGUUACAAUGGGGGGUACAGAAGGCAGCUACCUGGCGACAGGAUGCUAAUCCCAAAAACCUCUCUCAGUUCGGAUCGAAGUCUGCAACCCGACUUCGUGAAGCUGGAUUCGCUAGUAAUCGCGCAUCAGCCAUGGCGCGGUGAAUACGUUCCCGGGCCUUGUACACACCGCCCGUCAAGCCAUGAAAGCCGGGGGUACCUGAAGUACGUAACCGCAAGGAGCGUCCUAGGGUAAAACUGGUAAUUGGGGCUAAGA
rnacentral:rRNA from 1 species